rnacentral:rRNA from 1 species
AUUGAACGCUGGCGGCAUGCCUUACACAUGCAAGUCGAACGGCAGCACGGGCUUCGGUCUGGUGGCGAGUGGCGAACGGGUGAGUAAUGUAUCGGAACGUACCUUUCAGUGGGGGAUAACGUAGCGAAAGUUACGCUAAUACCGCAUAUUCUGUGAGCAGGAAAGCAGGGGAUCUUCGGACCUUGCGCUGAUUGAGCGGCCGAUAUCAGAUUAGCUAGUUGGUGAGGUAAAGGCUCACCAAGGCGACGAUCUGUAGCGGGUCUGAGAGGAUGAGCCGCCACACUGGAACUGAGACACGGUCCAGACUCCUACGGGAGGCAGCAGUGGGGAAUUUUGGACAAUGGGGGCAACCCUGAUCCAGCCAUGCCGCGUGAGUGAAGAAGGCCUUCGGGUUGUAAAGCUCUUUCAGCCGGGAAGAAAUCGCAUAGGUUAAUACCCUGUGUGGAUGACGGUACCGGAAUAAGAAGCACCGGCUAACUACGUGCCAGCCGCCGCAGUAAAAC